GGAUUAGAUACCCUGGUAGUCCACGCCGUAAACGAUGUCGACCAGCCGUUGGGUGCCUAGCGCACUUUGUGGCGAAGUUAACGCGAUAAGUCGACCGCCUGGGGAGUACGGCCGCAAGGUUAAAACUCAAAUGAAUUGACGGGGGCCCGCACAAGCGGUGGAGCAUGUGGUUUAAUUCGAUGCAACGCGAAGAACCUUACCUACUCUUGACAUCCUGCGAAUUCGGUAGAGAUACCUUAGUGCCUUCGGGAACGCAGAGACAGGUGCUGCAUGGCUGUCGUCAGCUCGUGCCG
rnacentral:rRNA from 1 species